CCUACGGGUGGCAGCAGUGGGGAAUAUUGCACAAUGGGGGAAACCCUGAUGCAGCGACGCCGCGUGAGUGAAGAAGUAUUUCGGUACGUAAAGCUCUAUCAGCAGGAAAGAAAAUGACGGUACCUGACUAAGAAGCCCCGGCUAACUACGUGCCAGCAGCCGCGGUAAUACGUAGGGGGCAAGCGGUAUCCGGAUUUACGGGGUGUAAAGGGAGCGUAGGCGGCAGCGCAAGGCUGGAGUGAAAUGCCGGGGCCCAAACCCGGUACUGCUCUGGAAACUGUGGAGCUGGAGUGUAGGAGAGGUAAGCGGAAUGCGUGGUGUAGCGGUGAAAUGCGUAGAUAUCAGGAGGAACCCCGGCGGCGAAGGCGGCUUACUGGACUGUAACUGACGUUGAGGCACGAAGGCGUGGGGAGCGAACAGGAUUAGAUACCCGAGUAGUC
rnacentral:rRNA from 1 species